UGUGGAUUAGUGGGUGGGAGCUACACCUGGCAUACUGGGAGUUGUCGUCUUUGAUUAGCUUCCAGUUUUUUAAUUGCAGGGCAACCGGAUUACAAUCACAGCCAGCAUGAACAUGGGGCGGCGCACAGUCCUGAAGUGGAAAGCCGGGCUGUGUUGACCUCGCUGUGCAUGCUGGGAGUUGUAGUCUCUUCACUGCUCCCGCCCGUUGUUUCAGGCACUUCGGGACUACAAUCCCAGCAUGACCCGGGCUCGGGGACGGGGCGCAGUUCUCGUGGGAGGAGCGGGGCGGUGAGAGCCUGGCUAGGCAGGCUGGAAACAGUAGCUCUUAACGGUCCCCCGCCCGUUGGUGGCAAGGCGGCUGGACUGGAAUCCCAGCAGGCGACAUGCGAGGAGGCGGGCAGCCCAGGAGGAGGGUUGGACACGGCAAUGUGGACCUCGCCGCUUCCACAACGAUGCUGGCUACUGAUCGCGUGCACUUCCUUGCCAAGGAAAAUUCGUGCUGUGCACUAA
ensembl:lincRNA